UUACAGCGAAGCGGCGCGAGCCGCCUUUCGAACCACCGCGUACCGAACCCCCCACGUUGCCUCGGCGGGCGCCGGGCGCCCCGCGCCCGCCCCGCCGAACGGCCCCCCAGCAAGACCCCUUCCGUCGAGAUGGCGUCGUCUGAACCCUCCGGGGAAAACGUUUCUGAAACGAAAAACACAACUUUCAACAAUGGAUCUCUUGGCUCCGGCAUCGAUGAAGAACGCAGCGAAACGCGAUAGCUAGUGUGAAUUGCAGAUUUCAGUGAAUCAUCGAGUCUUUGAACGCACAUUGCGCCUCUUGGUAUUCCUCGAGGCAUGCCUGUUCGAGCGUCGUUACGCCCCUCAAGCGCGAGCUUGGUGUUGGGGACCGCCCCUGAGACACGGCGGCGGCCCCGGAAUGCAUCGGCGGUGCUGGUCCCAGCCCGGAGCGCAGCAGACAUGCGGCUCCGCGGGCGGGGCCGGCGCCCGCCGGACAAACGACGAGACCCCUCCACAAGUCGACCUCGAAUCAGGUAGGGAUACCC
rnacentral:misc_RNA from 1 species